rnacentral:rRNA from 1 species
UACAGAGGGUGCGAGCGUUAAUCGGAAUUACUGGGCGUAAAGCGUGCGUAGACGGCUAUCUAAGUCGGGUGUGAAAGCCCCGGGCUCAACCUGGGAAUUGCAUUCGAGACUGAAUAGCUAGGGUGCGGUAGAGGGAAGCGGAAUUUCCGGUGUAGCGGUGAAAUGCGUAGAGAUGCAGAGGAACACCGAUGGCGAAGGCAGCCCUCUGGGCCAACACUGACGCUCAGGCACGAAAGCGUGGGGAGCAAACAGG